AAUAGCCUUAAAAAUGAAGGGCGAGAUGAGGAAGGGCGUAGUAAUCGACGAAAUGCUUUGGGGAGUUGAAAAUAAGCAUAGAUUCGGAGAUUCCCAAAUAGGGAAAACUUUCAAACUUCUGCUGAAUCCAUGGGCAGGCAAGAGACAACCUGGCGAACUGAAACAUCCUAGUAGCUAGAGGAAAAGAAAGCAAAAGCGAUUCCCAUAGUAGUGGCGAGCAAAAUGGGAGCAUCCUAAACUAUGAAAACGAGGUGGUGGGAGAGCAAUACAAGCGUCGUGCUGCUAGGAGAAGCAACUUGAAUGCUGUACCCUAGAUGGAAAAAGUCCAGUAGCCAAAAGCAUCACUAGGUAAUGCUGUGACCCGAGUAGCAUGGGGCACGUAGAAUCCCGUGUGAAUCAGAAAGGACCACCUUGCAAGGCUAAAUACUCAUGGGUGACCAAUAGCGAAGUAGUACCGUGAGGGAAGGGUGAAAAAACCCCAUCGGGGAGUGAAAUAGAACAUGAAACCAUAAGCUCCCAAGCAGUGGGAAGAGCCAGGACUUUGACCGUAUGCCUGUUUCAGUGAAAUAGAACAUGAAACCAUAAGCUCCCAAGCAGUGGGAGGAGCCAGGACUCUGACCGUAUGCCUGUUGCAGAAUGAGCCAGUGAAUCAUAGGCAGUGGCUUGGUUAAGGGAACCCACCAGAGUCAUAACAAAAGUGAGUCUUCAUAGGGAAAUUGUCACUGCUUAUGGACCCAAACCUGGGUGAUGUAUCCCUAACCAGGAUGAAGCUUGGGUAAAACUAAGUGAAGAUCCAAACCGACUAAUGUUGAAGAAUUAGUGGAUGAGUUGUUGUUAGGGUGAAAUGCCACUCGAACCCAGAGCUAGAUGGUUCUCCCCGAAAUACGUUGAGGCUCAGCAGUUGACUAGACAUCUAGGGGUAAAACACUGCUUUGAUGUAGGCCGCAAGAGCGGUACCAAAUCGAGGCAAACUCUGAAUACUAGGUAUGGCCUUAAAAUUAAAAAAGAGAGGUCAAAGUCGGCUAGUGAGAUGAUGGGGGAUAAGAUUCAUUGUUGAGAGGGAAACAACCCGGAUCACCAGCUAAGGACCCUAAAUAGCCGCUCAAUGAUAAAGGAGGUAGGGUUACAGAGACAGCCAGGAGGUUUACCUAGAAGCAACCACCCUUGAAAGAGUACGUAAUAGCUUACUGAUCAAGCGUUCUUGCACCGAAAAGGAAUGGGGGUAAGCAAUCUGCAAAGGCUGUGGGGUGUAAAAAUACAUCGAUAGGGGAGCAUUUUGCCUUAGAGAAAAGCCUCCGUGUGAGCGGUGGUAGAUGAAGCAGAAGUGAGAAUGUCGGCUUGAGUAACGCAAACAUUGGUGAGAAUCUAAUGCCCCAAAAACCUAAGGGUUCCUUCGCGAGGUUCGUCCAUGGAGGGUGAGUCAGGGCCUAAGAUUAGGCCAAAAGGUAUAGUCGAUGGACAACAGGAGAAUAUUUCUGUACUACCCCUUGUUGGUCCCGAGGGACGGAAGAGGCUAGGUUAGCCAAAAGAUGGUUAUUAGUUCAAGAACGUAAGGUAUCCCUGCCCCUUUUCAGGGUAAGAAGGGGUAGAGAAAAUGCCUCGAGCCAAUGUUCGACUACCAGGCUCUACGGCGCUGAAGUAACCCAUGCCAUACUCCCAGGAAAAGCUCAAACGACUUUGAGCAAGAGGGUACCUAUACUUGAAACUGACACAUGUGGGUAGGUAGUGAAUACCUAGGGGCGCGAGACAACUCUCUCUAAGGAACUCAACAAAAUAGCCAUGUAACUUUGGGAGAAGAGGUGCCUCUUCACAUCACAAAGGGGGUCACAGUGACCAGGCGCGGGUGACUAUUUACCAAAAACACAGGUCUUCACAAAGUCGUAAGACCAUGUAUGGGGGCUGACACUUUCCCAGUGCUGGAAGGGCAAGGAAGUUGUUGGCCUGAUGACAGGGGAGACGACGACCGAAGCCCUGGUGAACGGCGGCCAUAACUAUAACGGUCCUAUGGUAGCAAAAUUCCUUCUCGGGUAAGUUUCCACCCGCACGAAAGGAAUAAUGAUCGCAUAAUGAUCUGGGCACUGUCUCAGAGAGAGGCUCGGUGAAAUAGACAUGUCUAUAAAGAUGCGGACUACCUACACCUGGACAGAAAGACCCUAUGAAGCUUCACUGUUCCCUGGGAAUAGAUUUGGGCCUUUCCUAUGCAGCUUAGGUGGAAGGCGAAGAAGGCCUCCUUUCGGGGGGCCGCAAGUCAUCAGUGAGAUACCACUCUAGAAGGGAUAAAAUUCUUACCUUGUGUUAGGACCUACGGGCCAAGGAACAGUCUUAGGUAGACAAUUUCUAUAGGGCGUAGGCCUCCAAAAGGUAAUGGAGGCAUGUAAAGGUUUCCUAGGGCCGGACGGAGAUUGGCCCUCGAGUGCAAAGGUAGAAGGAAGCUUAACUGCAAGACCCAUCCAUCGAGCAGGAAAGAAAGUCAGCCUUAGUGAUCCAAUGGUGCCGAGUGGAAAGGCCGUCGCUCAAUGGAUAAAAGUUACUCUAGGGAUAGCAGGCUAAUCUUCCCCAAGAGCUCACACCGAGGGGAAGGUUUGGCACCUCGAUGUCGUCUCUUCACCACCUGGGGCUGUAGUAUGUUCCAAGGGUUAGGCUGUUUAUAAAUUAAAGUGGUACGUGAGUUAGGUUCAGAACGUCGUGAGACAAUUUGGUCCAUAUUUGGUGUGGGUGUUAGAGCAUUGAGAGGACCUUUCCCUAGUACGAGAGGACCAGAAAGGACACACCUCUGGUGUACCAGUUAUUCUGACCAUGGUAAACGAUGGGUAGCCAAGUGCGGAGCAGAUAAUUGUUGAAAGCAUCUAAGUAGUAAGCCCACUCCAAGAUAAGUGCUCUCCUAUUCUGACUUCCCCAGAGCUUCCAGUAGCACAACCGAGAUAGCGAUGGGUUCUUUGCCUCUGCGGAGAUAGAGCGACAGAAGUUUUUUUGAGAAUUCAAGAGAAGGUCACAGCGAGAUGAGCCAUUUAUCAUUAUGAUAGGUGUCAAGUAGAAGUGCAGUGAUGUAUGAAGUUGAGGCAUCCUAACAGACUGGUAUACUUGAAC
rnacentral:rRNA from 1 species